UACGGGGGGGGCAAGCGUUGUUCGGAAUUACUGGGCGUAAAGGGCUCGUAGGCGGCCAACUAAGUCCGACGUGAAAUCCCCAGGCUCAACCUGGGAACUGCGUCGGAUACUGGAUGGCUUGAAUUCGGGAGAGGGAUGCAGAAUUCCAGGUGUAGCGGUGAAAUGCGUAGAUAUCAGGAGGAACACCGGUGGCGAAGGCGGUUCUCUGGGCCUUACCUGACGCUGAGGAGCGAAAGCGUGGGGAGCGAACAGG
rnacentral:rRNA from 1 species